AUUGAACGCUGGCGGCAUGCCUUACACAUGCAAGUCGAACGGCAGCACGGGAGCAAUCCUGGUGGCGAGUGGCGAACGGGUGAGUAAUAUAUCGGAACGUGCCCAGUCGUGGGGGAUAACGUAGCGAAAGCUACGCUAAUACCGCAUACGAUCUACGGAUGAAAGCGGGGGAUCGCAAGACCUCGCGCGAUUGGAGCGGCCGAUAUCAGAUUAGCUAGUUGGUGAGGUAAAGGCUCACCAAGGCGACGAUCUGUAGCUGGUCUGAGAGGACGCCCAGCCACACUGGAACUGAGACACGGUCCAGACUCCUACGGGAGGCAGCAGUGGGGAAUUUUGGACAAUGGGCGCAAGCCUGAUCCAGCAAUGCCGCGUGCAGGAUGAAGGCCUUCGGGUUGUAAACUGCUUUUGUACAGAACGAAACGGUCCUUUCUAAUACAAGGGGCUAAUGACGGUACUGUAAGAAUAAGCACCGGCUAACUACGUGCCAGCAGCCGCGGUAA
rnacentral:rRNA from 1 species